UACGGGGGAUGCAAGCGUUAUCCGGAAUCAUUGGGCGUAAAGCGCCUGUAGGUUGUUUAAUAAGUCUGUUGUUAAAGACUAGGGCUCAACCCUAGAAAAGCAAUGGAAACUACUAGACUAGAGUAUGGCAGGGGUAGAGGGAAUUUCUAGUGUAGCGGUGAAAUGCGUAGAUAUUAGAAAGAACACCAGUGGCGAAAGCGCUCUACUGGACCAUUACUGACACUCAGAGGCGAAAGCUAGGGUAGCAAAAGGGAUUAGAUACCCCUGUAGUCCUAGCCGUAAACGAUGGAUACUACAUGUUGUGCAACACGUACAGUAUCGAAGCUAACGCGUUAAGUAUCCCGCCUGGGGAGUACGCUCGCAAGGGUG
rnacentral:rRNA from 1 species